GACAGAGGGUGCAAACGUUGUUCGGAUUUACUGGGCGUAAAGCGCACGUAGGCGGCUUCGCAAGUCGGAUGUGAAAUCCCUCGGCUCAACCGAGGACGUGCAUCCGAAACUGCGGAGCUUGAGUACUGAAGAGGAUCGCGGAAUUCCCGGUGUAGAGGUGAAAUUCGUAGAUAUCGGGAGGAACACCAGUGGCGAAGGCGGCGAUCUGGGCAGUUACUGACGCUGAGGUGCGAAAGCGUGGGGAGCAAACAGG
rnacentral:rRNA from 1 species